UACGGGGGGGAGCAAGCGUUUGUUCGGAUUUACUGGGCGUAAAGGGCGCGUAGGCGGCCAGCACAAGUCAGUUGUGAAAUCUCCGAGCUUAACUCGGAACGGUCAACUGAUACUGUGCGGCUAGAGUGCGGAAGGGGCAACUGGAAUUCUUGGUGUAGCGGUGAAAUGCGUAGAUAUCAAGAGGAACACCUGCGGCGAAGGCGGGUUGCUGGGCCGACACUGACGCUGAGGCGCGAAAGCCAGGGGAGCGAACGGG
rnacentral:rRNA from 1 species